UUAAUCUUAAAUCCGAGAAUUCCCAUCUGCAAAGUCAGAGGUAAUAUCCCCAUCACUUCCUGAAAAGCUGCAGCAAAUGGAUUUUGAAUUCUCCAUAGGAAUUACAAGCCCAUGAAAACCAAGCAAUGAGGAUUGAGGAUUGUUUAGGUUGGAAGCUCAUCUUAUAAGAAAGAAUACCCAAGAUAGAAGAUACAAUUUGCAAAACACAUGAAGCUC